rnacentral:rRNA from 1 species
GACGAACGCUGGCGGCGUGCUUAACACAUGCAAGUCGAACGGAAAGGCCCUGCUUUUGUGGGGUGCUCGAGUGGCGAACGGGUGAGUAACACGUGAGUAACCUGCCCUUGACUUUGGGAUAACUUCAGGAAACUGGGGCUAAUACCGGAUAGGAGCUCCUGCUGCAUGGUGGGGGUUGGAAAGUUUCGGCGGUUGGGGAUGGACUCGCGGCUUAUCAGCUUGUUGGUGGGGUAGUGGCUUACCAAGGCUUUGACGGGUAGCCGGCCUGAGAGGGUGACCGGCCACAAUGGGAAUGAGGAAAGGCCCAGACUCCUACGGGAGGCAGCAGUGGGGAAUAUUGCACAAUGGGCGGAAGCCUGAUGCAGCAACGCCGCGUGCGGGAUGACGGCCUUCGGGUUGUAAACCGCUUUCGCCUGUGACGAAGCGUGAGUGACGGUAAUGGGUAAAGAAGCACCGGCUAACUACGUG